GGCUGGUCCAAAGGUAGUGAGUUAUCUCACUUGAUCGUUCACAGCCAGUUACAGAUUGAACUCCUGUUCUAUUCUUUCUUCCCUUCUCACUACUGAACUAGACUAGUCUAAA
rnacentral:Y_RNA from 1 species